rnacentral:rRNA from 1 species
UACGGAGGGUGCAAGCGUUAUCCGGAUUCACUGGGUUUAAAGGGCGCGUAGGCGGUCAGCACAAGUCAGUUGUGAAAUCUCCGGGCUUAACUCGGAAAGGUCAACUGAUACUGUGCGACUAGAGUGCGGAAGGGGCAACUGGAAUUCCCGGUGUAGCGGUGAAAUGCGCAGAUAUCGGGAGGAACACCAAUGGCGAAGGCAGCUCACUGGGACGGCACUGACGCUGAGACGCGAAAGCGUGGGGAGCAAACAGG